UGAUAAAAAAAAAACUAGCAGGAGCGAAAGGCGCACAGGAGAAGGUGGUGGCUGAAUCGCGUUUGCGCUCUCCUUGUUUCCCCGUCACACAUUCGACCUCACAGCGAACCCUUGAGAUGUAAUCAUUUUUUCCAAGCAUAGUCGCAUAUUCCCUAGUCUAAACAGUAGCUGUAAUCGGACGUGUAGUUGUGCCGACGCGUGGGAUCUGUGCUUCUUCGUCGAUUUUGCCCCCACGCUGUGCACGCCAUUUGCAUUCUUGAGAAAGCAAGUCAUUGAGGUGUGAGGCGUUAGCAUGUUCACCCAGCUUCUGCAGUUUGCUGGGCUAGCUCAAAGAUGGCCCACUUUUACACGUGAGGAGGUGGCAAGGCACAACACGAGCGAGUCUUUGUGGAUCAUCGUAGGCAACUCUGUGCUUGACAUCACGCCGCUCAUCGGGAAGCAUCCCGGUGGCAAUGGUGCGUUGUUGAAGCGAGGUGGUGGCGUGAAGGACUGCGCAGAGGACUUGAUGUUUCACGGAAGGGCCACACGCCGCGACGCGCAAAAGUACAAGAUUGGAGAGUUGCCACCGAACGAUACUCAGAAAGCUGCCUCUAGUCCUUCCACCGCUCUUCCGCAGGCUGUGCCGCCACUGCAGACUUCGCAUGAGACUGUCACAAAGCUAGUUGUCCCAACCAGCCCUCACGAAAGGCACACAUACGGCAGCGACUCAGAGCAGUGGGACGACGGCGCCAAGGAUAGUCUGUUGUCAUCGAGCGAUACAGAUAUCGUUGUAGCAUCGAAUGUGAAUAACGCGCCACCUACUCCAGUAAUCUGAUGUUUUUUAUUUUCUCCUCUUCACUCUGCUUAUCUUAGCAAAGGGCGCAUAAAUCGAUGUUUUAGCGAGACCAGCUUCUACUAGAGAUGUUCUCUUUGUUUUCGUGUGCUUGGUGGCCUAGAGCAAGGGGGAGCGGGCUUAGGAAGCCUACUGAUUUUUUGUUUUCCUUCAGUCUCGCUUUCUCUUAUGAAGGUCAACGGCCAUUGCUGACAUUACAACUUAUGUGUGUUAAAGUUACUUGGCUGAUUUCGUGUUUUUUUUUUGUACAUUCAUCAGCGCAACUUCUUUUGUGGUACCUCUCCUUCGGUUUCGGAAACAAAAAGCGAUGCGAACAAAUGAAGAGGCGCGUAAGUGUGUCAUAAGAGGCUGAAAAUGUGCUAACCGGCUCGUUCCAAAGCAACAGCGAGAGUUUAGUGGUCAUCACACCCAAGGAAAUGCCUCUCCUGUAGAUCUCUGUUGCGAAUCCCGUCCUAACGGCAACGCACAAGAGGCAACGGCAGCAAAAGAAAAGAUAGGAAGAAAAACAACGAAAGAAUGAAGAAGAUAAUCGGGUACACACACACGUGCACACGCACAGCCUUUCUUUCAACGAAGGAAAAAAUGUUUUCUUUCCCAUAUUGUCUACAUCUGCUAUUACGGCAGGAAGAAGGGAUGUAAUCAACAUUUCCCUUUCUACGCCUCGCUUCCUUCCCUCGAAAAGCAACGUGUGUGUGUCUGUGCGCACUGGUAUAAUGCUCUUCUAUCAAUGUCUUUCUCCUCUUAAUGCCUGUUCACUUUUCUGCGGCUUGAUUGUAUUCUGGUUUUCUUCUUUUUCACCCUUUUUUAAAUCUUUGGUCUUCUCUGUUUCGGCGAAAGAUUUUUGUGACUGAAGUCAUUGGUUCUGCUUUGCUUCCUGUUUUAGUAUUCGCAUUCAAAAAAAAAGGGUCAGAAAGUAAGGUUCCUUUUAAACAGGCCGUGCACAUGGAAUACUCUGCGGUAAAGCUAGGAGUACCACAGGAGGUCGUUCUCAGGCUUUUUUCUCUCGUGACUCCCACGGUGAAGUGGUGAAUUCGGAUCCCCUCUUGAACUGAUUAGAUGACCUAGGUUGUGGCCUGCUCGAUUCCACGCAGCUCAUCUCCCUUUCCGGUGAUGCGGGAGAAAAAUGUGGAAACGGAACACGUAUGUUUCGAGAGACUUCUUUGUUUCAGCUAACUGUCCAUUUGAGACAGUAGACGCAGCGCAGCCUUUGCAGCAGCCUUCUUGCUGUCUCUCCGUUUCUCCGACUUUUUGCUCCUGUUUACGUCUCCAUUUUUUUUUCGUCGUACAGCGCUGAUUUGAUUGUCCUCUUCCACCCCGUUUUCUCUUUUCGCCACGGUGUGUCUUUAAGCAUCGGUCUUUUCUCUCCCCCUUUUCGUUUUAAAUAGGUGUUUUUUUUUUCCUCAAUUCUUAGUUUCUUUUACACAAGCUUUUCAAGGUGUAUGCUCAGCUUCAGUGAUCGCCUUUCGAGCAUCAGCGCCGCU
rnacentral:misc_RNA from 1 species